rnacentral:rRNA from 1 species
UACGGGGGGGGCAAGCGUUGUUCGGAAUUACUGGGCGUAAAGGGCGCGUAGGCGGUUUGCUAAGUUGGAUGUGAAAACUCUGGGCUUAACCCAGAGCCUGCAUCCAAAACUAGCAGGCUAGAGUUCUGGAGGGGAUAGCGGAAUUCCUGGUGUAGCGGUGAAAUGCGUAGAUAUGCGGAGGAACACCGAUGGCGAAGGCAAUCCCCUGGACCUGUACUGACGCUCAUGCACGAAAGCGUGGGGAGCAAACAGG